ACACAGGAGAAGGGACGCACUCCUGUGUGAGUGCGCACGUGAGCCACCAGCUUGGACUUCUGAGUGAAUGCAGCUGGACACAAGUGGCACUGUAAGGGGGGCUCGCCCAUGUGUUUCCGAAGGUGUCUGUUCAUAGUUGACUUGUCCAGGGUCACAUAGGUGCACUGCUGGCAGGAAUGAAGUCGGCCUCGUACAGACGCCAAUGAAGACGACUGCUCCAAGGAC